UCUGCGUCUGUGGCAAUGCUGGAAUUGUUGCGGAUAUUUUGCUCCAAAUACGUGGACGAAGUGCGUGCAAUGUUUGUUAGUUUCGGCUUUGAUAUCUGAGGAUUUAUCCAUGAGAUACUGGCAAUGAGUUUCUUGUCAGCGCCAAAACAAGAGAGACUAAAUAUUGGCUUUUAUCAGUGUAGCUGGUUUGUGGUAUGUUACAUUCUCUCUCUCCAGCGAAUAAAGUCAAUGCUAAGUAUUCGAACUUCAGAGAAUACUGCUAGAAAGAAAAAAAGGAAAGCAACAUUUCACAGUGUGUAGAAGUAAAGCCCAGCACUCUGCAAAUCUUUGCCAAGUCUUCGCGAACCCUAUCCAACAGUUACGAACUGAACGUGCAGUGGAGAAGUGUAUAUAAAGAUAUCCAGCAUGCUUUCGAUUAGACUACCACGAAUGAUAGUAUCGUGCUGGUAUAAAAACGGAUGUCGCGAGUGUAAUGGUUUAUGUUUCUACAAAACAACUUUGCCAUGGUGUAUUUAAAUAACAACAUAAACUCAGUAAUGUAUGUUGUUCAGGUUGGUGAAAUGUUUUUAAGUAUUGAACAUUAUUUCAACUCCAAAACUAAUCUUUUUUGUGUAGCAUGUGAGACUAUUAACAAAACAAUAAUGCAAUUUUAACAUAAGUUGUUAAUAACAAUAGAGUGCAUCAAACAAAUCAAGCAAAGAAAAAUAAAGUUUAGUUAACAAUAAAAUGGAUCUACCACAUUAAUUGGCAUGCGUGGUAUAGCAACCUGUAAUAAUUGUUAAUCUAUAUAAAUCCACAAUAUUUGUGAAACAGCGACUUUUGUAUGCCCGUUGUACGAGGGAAUACAAAACUGGUCAUAUUAACCAGUGCCGCAGCGCAGGCGUAGCAUUAUUUUAGUACUUGUUCCGUGUAAAAAUGCCGUCGACCAGUUCAAUUUCAAACCAACCCGAUCCUCAAACACAUAAUAUAAUUAUUAAAAUAAUGGUAGUGUCAUAUGCACCGAAACACAAGUUGUCCUAACAUGAUUAUCAAGACGAUUAGAAGCACGCCAAGAAGCAAGCCAUUUAGAAGCAUUCCAAUCGAACACUUGAGUACGGACUUUACCCAAUCAUACAAUGUAUUCUGUGCUCGACUAGCACACGGAGGUAACGAUGCGCAAUCAAAGAACACGGCACAAAAAGGAAAGUAAACGAUUCUCAGUAAAUUGCCAAAAAUCUAAUAUUGCUCUGGUUUGAAUGUGUCUCUCACUCCACGUGUGCUGGUACACAAAUGGGUGUUUGCUCGCUCCAUAAAACGUUUGGUGUGCUUGAAACCAUUUGGCUGCCCUACCAAAAGGUCGUUUACAGUAUCUUGCUCUAAACUGUCUUUGGUAUGGUGUUUGCCUUCGCUCUGCCUUCGAUAGGCUAUAGCGCACGUACAGGAUGCAGAGGAAUGUGAGGAAACAGGCUUGCGCAUGAUGAGUUCUACAGUUAGAGACGUGUAUAGUAGAGUGUAUAGUAUAAUUACCAAGAGUUCAUUUAUGUAUUGUCAUGCCGAGGAAUGUUGUUCUAUCGAUCGUCGAUAACUUUCAACCAGUCUAUACUUCCAUGACCAGACAAAAGUAUUAUGAAUAUUAGCAAAAUGAUAAUGCUUUUAAGUAUUAUAAACGAUAAUAAACAUUCAAAUUAGUGAAUACAAGUAAAA